UUCCCACACCCUAAAACCUCACUUUCCUGCCAGGUCCCCAAGUUUGCUGGUGCUGGCAAAAACAGAAUCAAUGAAGCAUGGCAGACGCAGAAGCGGCACAAUAAGGCGAAAGGAAGAGCGUAUCCUGCUACUGUAUGGGCUGGAUCAACCUCAACUUGUAACUGGUGGUAGCUACUCCAUCCAUUAAUUCUUUCCCUCUGUUGAGACAACUUAAAAGUACUAAACCACUACUCUAACUCUCCUAUUUUUCCCUGACUUUUGAUCACAGUCUCUUCUCAAUUAAUUAUGUCUUACCAUAAAAGAUACAGGCAGAUACAACGUGAGCUCAAGGAACUGUUGGUUAGUAGUAGUGAAGAGGAAGCUGACUGGGUUCAUCAAAACACCAAAAUUCCCAAACUUUACCAUAAUAACUCUGACCCAUCUUUAAGCUUUUCUGACCAGGACAGUUGUGAAAGUACAUCCUUAUCCCCCUUGAUAGUAACUGCACCAGAAGAAUUAAGCACAGAUGAUGAGAGUCACCACCAUAUAUCUGAUUUGGCACUUGAAGAAGGAUUAGCUUUAUGGGCAUCAAAAAAUAACAUUACACGCCAGGCAGCAAAUGAAUUAUUGGAGCUGUUGAGGAAUA